rnacentral:misc_RNA from 1 species
UGGAGUGACACAGAAGAAAGGCAAACGCGGCACGGAAUGUGUUGAACUUUAGAAAAGCAGAAGGAUAUGUUACGUGUGUAUAGAUUAGAAAAUUGUCCCAAUUUAUCAGAAUUCUACACAGGCAAUAAGAUGACUUCUGCUACAGAUGGUACUGAGGUACACGACAGCGUGAAGGACUAUUAUGGGAAGAGAGUGAAGACAGUGGAUGAUCUUCAGACUCAGGCAUGUGUAGCCCCUGGAAGAAAGGUCACUAAACCUGUAAGAGAGGCCAUAGGACUUGUUCACGAAGUUGUUACCUCAAAGUACUAUGGAUGUGGGCUUGUAAUCCCAGAGAAGCUUGAAGGGAUGAAGAUUUUGGACCUUGGGAGCGGUAGCGGACGUGAUUGUUUUGCCCUCAGCAAGCUGGUUGGUCCCACAGGUCAUGUGACAGGCAUCGACAUGACGGAUGAACAGCUUGACGUGGCCCGCGAGUAUAUUGGAUAUCAUACCAAGAAGUUUGGUUACACUAAACCUAACAUCGACUUUGUAAAGGGUUACAUUGAAAGGCUCACGGAAGCAGGACUGCCAACGAACAACUACGACAUUAUCGUUUCCAACUGUGUGGUGAACCUGUCCCCUGACAAGAAGGCUGUCCUACAGGAGUCCUACAAUGUCCUCAAGGAAGGUGGUGAGCUUUUCUUCAGUGACGUUUAUGCAGAUCGGACUUUGGAAGAGUCUGUACGCAAACACAAAGUAUUAUGGGGUGAGUGCAUUGCUGGGGCCCUGUGGUGGAAGGAGGUACAUGACCUAGCUGCGGAGAUUGGCUUUAGUAAACCCUACAUGGUCAGUGUUUCACCCAUUCCUGUUGACCGGGACGACUUUAAAGAAGUUCUGGGCGAUGCAAAAUUUGUAUCGGUGACUUACCGCUUGUUCAAGCUGCCCACUAAAAAGUGUGAGAGUUCCCAAGUGAUAUAUAAUGGAGACAUACCCGGCUAUGAAGAGGUGUUCAACUUUGACUAUAAAACAAACUUCAAGACCAAUGAUAUCAACUCAGUAGACGAAAACAUAGCGACAGCCCUAAAGUCAUCCAGGUUUGGUGAUGAGUUUGAUUUUCAACCACCAGCAAAGAAAUCGUGUGGCACAUCUGCUUGUUGCGCAGACUCAAAGCCUGAAGAUCCAUUUGUUUACUUGGAAGAGAAGAAAAAGAAAGGGGAGGUGGUGGCACCGCCACCAUGUUGUACAGACAGCAAAUGUUGUUAAGGCCAUUUUCAGCAUAUGUGUUGUAACCCUUUCACCCCUAUGUAACUUAAGUAAACUCUACCAUGCAUUAAUCUGGACGAGUACAGUAUGGUCUACAGUGGUGAAAGGGUUAAUGGACAUUUAAAGUUGGAAACAUAACCUGCAAUAUUUAAAUCAGCAAGACAUUUGUAUCGUGAAUAGAUUCUGCUAAUGAUUAACAUAGACAGUAAUCACGCACCUGAUUGUUUAGUGAUCAUGAUGUGUCAACAAAACAAUUGGAGACACAAGAAGUGAAAGAUACUAAAUGAGGAUGGAACAGGUAUAUGGAUAAGGAGUUUGAGUUGAAGAGCGAAAGGUAAGAAAGGAUAGGGAUGAUUUUUGGGAUUCUUACAUCAUUAAAGCACACUGUUGAGACAUAAAAUAUUACAUGAUUUUCAAUUUCGUAGCAACUUUAUGAAAAGAGUCGUGGAAUUUUCAUUUCAGCGAGCUUCUGGUGAGCUACAAUUUUAAAUCGUAACAAAUCGAGAAAUGAAAACAAUUGUAAGAUUAUGUUGAAUGAGAAACUUUUCCUCAGGUUGAUGCCAUGAAGUUGUCCUACAUGUAGUUGUGUUGUCACGUUUUGAAUAAUGGAUCCAUGCAGCCAACCACAGCUCUACCAGCUGUUAUUAAUGUGUGCUUAUACCACAAAUUUUGUGAUGAAUGUUCUAAUAUUGAUCACAUGGUAUAUAUAAACAAGAAACAUGUAUUUCAUAUUACUAUUCAUUUCACUUAUUAAAAUCCUCACCGAUAACUUGCCUGAUGGAAAACCACGAAGUUGUUAACAGUAUAGUGUAGGGAAAGAGUUAAAAAGCGAGAAAUGGGGAGUGAUGGAUAGGGAUGCAGGAAAGUGAUAGAUGAGAAGUGAAAGACAAGAGAAGUGAAAGACAUGAGAAGUGAAAGACAUGAGAAGUGAAAGACAAGAGAAGUGAUCGAAAGAUACCAAAUGAGGAUUGAUUUAGCUAUGUAAUACUUGGUUGCCAUUAUCUGAUUAAGAAAAUGAUUCUAUAUGAAAUUUACAAUUCAUAGCCUUUUACAAUUUAUUCAUGACUGAUUCAGACAGAAGCUGAGUACUUUGGCUAGUGUAAUCACCCCUGUGCUGAUUGUGUAAAACAGCUUCUGUAUGGUGGUAAUUACAGACCACUUUAUAUUGGUAGUGCUUGUGUACCUAAAUCUGAGAUUAUCCAACCCGAGUUCCCAUUACCAUAUCAAUGUCAUUGUCAGGUCUCCAUAAUCUGUUGUUGUGUAUAAUCAAUAAUCUACAGAUUAAUGAAUGCUCCUUUCUGUUGAGUUAUACCCGUAUUGUCAUAUCAUUGAUAAACCAUAGUAUAAUAGGUACCGUAUUUAUCUGGCAAUAUUAAUGGGCCCAUGUCUGGUGAUAAACUCAUCUGUCGUAUCUAGUUUCACUUUAGUAUAAUGACAACAGCACUAUUUCAUAUUCCUGUUAUUCACAUGUAAGCUCGACCACUUGCUUGAGGCAGAUAUUUUGUGUUGGUCACCUGGGCUUAAUCUGGAUAAAUACGGUAAUGCAACCAAGUGGAAAAACAUGGGCUGAUUAAUAACCAUCAAAAUUAACAUUCUUACACCCGAUUAUCGAUCUUUUUCCUUUUAUUGUUAUUCAAAGCCAUCAAAGAUUAUAUCGGUGGAAGUAAUUAUGAUAGGUUUUUAUCACAUGAAAGAUUAGUGGAAAGAUAUAUUAUCCUUCUUCACGGUACGGAGGCAGGGUACAUUGUUCUCACGGGCUAGCCUUGGUCGAUAAUCAUGUAUAUGCGAAUAGUUCAGGAUUGAAUUUUUUUUUUUUUAGACAGUACAUGACGGUAUUAAACCCAAUAACAUAUUCAUUAUUUCACGGGUUUGUCUACAUGAUGGUUUCAGGACGUUAAGAAUCUGCAUUUUAAUUCAUAAUUUGUACGUUACAAACAAUGCAGAACAUCACUUUAUCUCUCUGGGUAGUACAUGGAUCUUUUGUCCUAUGGUGCUUUUCAUACAAACAUUUUACCAAAUAUUGGAAAAAAUAAAUCAUGAUUUCUAUAGCUACUAAGAUCAUUGUCUACUAUUUUUGUUAGGCGACAUAUUAAAAUCAGAAUCAAUCGGAAAUAUCGUCACAAUUUGAUUUUGACGUCAAUAGAAGAUUAACAGUUAGUGACCGAUUACUAAAUUGUAUGUCAGAAAAACAUCUGAACACAUUACGACAAAAAACCAUUACGCUAAGCAUUAACAUAGAUAUUCUGUUUUACUCCGUUUUACAUUAUAACGCCAUUGUUUCCAUGCCAUGAAUGAACAGAGUAAUAAAAAAAUAAAAAUUCUGAAUGUUCAUCCCCAAUUUCGACUUGUAAAUCAGCUGAAUUCCCUGUAAAUAACAGUUUUCACCAAACAUAAAAUCCAUCACACAGACAAGCUUAAAUUACGAUAUUUUACACGAAUACUUCAUGCAGACGUGUUUUAUUUUGCCGUUUCCCACCUCAAUUAAACAUUCUCAGAUUGGGAAUUCUCAGAUUGGGAAGUUUAAUUGGGAGUUCUCAAUGAUUAUUUAAAACAAAAUAGCAAAGCCAUAUAUACCAGGUUUUGCUUAUUCUGGAAAAUAUUUGGACACACCAAUGUAGAUCAAAUUACAUACACGUAAUAUAAUAUCUGUUGAUAGCUUAGCACUAGGAAACUUGUCCACACGUCAUCUCCAUAGCGAUAGGGCGUUGAUGCUGUAGACGUCGUAUAUCUCGUUCGUAGUUAAAGGGGUUUUAUACUGAAAAAAAACAUUGGCAGGGAAAACCGAUGCAUUUGUUGUAAAGUUCAGCUUAAUAUUGACAUUAAUUAAUUUCCAUAAAACCGCUCAACCAAAAUAUCUUGCCACUUUAGAUUUGCUAUAUGAUCAAUUUAAAAAUGAUUGUCACAAAUUGUUGGUUUCUAGGAUGCGUUUUUCUCUGACAGUGAUCGUUUUUUUGUGCAUAAAGAUAGUAUCGGGGAAUUGAGAAUAUUUGUUCAUUUUAUAUAUAAUACUGGCAAUUACAUUUCCUUUUAUUUACCAACUUGUAAUAUGAUACGAUUUACGUGUAUUUGUUAUUUUUUGGUAUUUAGAGACUUCAAAUCAUUGCAAUCAUUUAAUGUUGACAUUAGCGCAUUUUUAAUUGUUUAUAAUGAAUAUACAAUGAUAUAGGAAAUAAAAAGAAAAAUUUAUAAGAAAAUGUC